rnacentral:rRNA from 1 species
CAGUCGCCGCGGUAAAACGAAGGGUGCAAGCGUUACUCGGAAUUACUGGGCGUAAAGCGUGCGUAGGUGGUGGUUUAAGUCCGUUGUGAAAGCCCUGGGCUCAACCUGGGAAUUGCAGUGGGUACUGGGUCACUAGAGUGUGGUAGAGGAUAGUGGAAUUUCCGGUGUAGCAGUGAAAUGCGUAGAGAUCGGAAGGAACAUCUGUGGCGAAGGCGACUAUCUGGGCCAACACUGACACUGAGGCACGAAAGCGUGGGGAGCAAACAGGAUUAGAUACCCGUGUAGUCCCUGUCUCUUAUAC